rnacentral:lncRNA from 10 species
AUCUGAGUUCAUUGGAAGCUGAAAUUGCCUGGUCCACGGCAGAUGCUUGACUGGUGACAGCUUCCUUUCCCAGUGAGGCCCAGGGAAGUAGGCACAGUGCUUGGCACCCUGCAAGCAUGCGACACAGCUUCACAAAAUACCCACAGGGAGCCAGGAGCACCGCUUGAAUUUUAUGGAUGACAAAAUUGUGGUUCAAGGAAGGUAAAAGUACCCUGGUAGGACACGUAAUUUUUAAAAAGUCUAUAGCUAUUGAUAUUACUAUAUAUUAAUUCCCAUUCUGUCCCUCCGGUUUCUCCCCUGAACACUAAUUUCCAAAUCCCCAACACUCUAUGGUUUAAAUGAUAAACGAUUCACCCAAAUACUGUAUAAUUUUUUUUUUCCUUUUGGGUCAGGGCCAUGCUCUGUCACCCAGGCUAGAGUGCAGUGGUACAAUCGCAGCUAACUGCAGCCUCAACCUCCCAGGCUUAAGUGAUCCUCCCACUUCACAGCCUCCCAAGUAGUUGGGACUACAGGCAUGCACAACCACAACUAGCUAAUUUUUAAAAUUUUUGGCAAAGACAGAUCUCACUACGUUGCCCUGGCUGGUCUCGAACUCAUGGACUCAAAUGAUCCUUUCUCCUCAGCCUCCCAAAGUGCUUGGAUUACAGAUGUGAGCCACCGCACAUGGCCAUGUACAAUUCUUGAAGAAGCUGAAACUCAUCUUUCUUUCUCGGUAUAAGAAAACUCAGGAUAUGUUUGGACAUCCCCUCCCAUCUGCCCUCCCAGCCUCCUCUUCUCCAGGCUGAACCAGAUCCUGCUGCAUCUUUCUCAAAGACUCUCUUACAUCCUCAUUAUGGUUUCUGCCCCAGUCCUCCAUGCUUCUCUGAAGUUUAGAGUCAAAAUGCCCUUUUUUGCUUUAGGGGUGAGACCUUCUCUAGCACCGUGUGUCUACAACACAGAGAGGGCAAACAGAGAUAGUGCUUGGUAUUUUAUUUUUAAAAUUUUUAAUCUUGAUUAUAUUUUGCAAUGUUUAUACCAUUGCACAACACACGGAAGCAUUAGUCACAAUUUAUAUAGCUGAUUUCAUGGAGCUGAAUUCUAUGGUGUUUAUAGCCGUUGAGUGUCUUCUCCCAGAAAUUGGAAAGAUGCCCCAUUUGCUGUAACACACACGACCUCCACCCCAUUCUUUUCCUUUGUAACCCAAACCACAAUGUGUAAUUGUGUGUUUAUUUUGUGUUUAAUGUUUAUCUCUUCGCCCAGGCUCUAAGGCUCUAUGAGGGCAGGGAUCACAUCUGUUUAGUUCACCCAGAUUUCAUUAUAUAUCCAGCAUUCUACACUCUGUAACUGCUUAGUCUCAACUCUGACCACACAUUAAGUCAUCAAGGGAGUUAACAGAAAAAAAAAAAAAACAAUAAACAAGCAAAAUGUUU